UCUCCGAAAUAGCUUUAGGGCUAGCCUCAAGUGAUGAUUAUUGGAGGUAGAGCACUGUUUGGACGAGGGGCCCCUCUCGGGUUACCGAAUUCAGACAAACUCCGAAUGCCAAUUAAUUUAACUUGGGAGUCAGAACAUGGGUGAUAAGGUCCGUGUUCGAAAGGGAAACAGCCCAGACCACCAGCUAAGGUCCCAAAAUAUAUGUUAAGUGGAAAAGGAUGUGGCGUUGCCCAGACAACUAGGAUGUUGGCUUAGAAGCAGCCAUCAUUUAAAGAGUGCGUAAUAGCUCACUAGUCGAGUGACACUGCGCCGAAAAUGUACCGGGGCUAAACAUAUUACCGAAGCUGUGGAUUGUCCUUUGGACAAUGGUAGGAGAGCGUUCUAAGGGCGUUGAAGCAUGAUCGUAAGGACAUGUGGAGCGCUUAGAAGUGAGAAUGCCGGUGUGAGUAGCGAAAGACGGGUGAGAAUCCCGUCCACCGAUUGACUAAGGUUUCCAGAGGAAGGCUCGUCCGCUCUGGGUUAGUCGGGUCCUAA
rnacentral:rRNA from 1 species